rnacentral:lncRNA from 1 species
CCAAAAUGGAGCCAGAGUAGCCAGAAGAGCCGGAGCAGCUGGAGGAGCCAGAGUAGCUACCGCUGCAUCCCAGAAGGAGCGGCCAUAGUGUCUAAGACAAAGCUGCAGCUGGAGCACGGGAGCCCCUGGAGCGCAGGUACCGCUGCGGAGCAGGAGCUAAUGCCGCCGCCGCCAGGAAAAGGGAGCCACCGGAGCACGCAUGCGUUGGAGUGCGGGAGCCGCCCGCCACCUGCUGCCACGGCCGCCAAAGCCUUGAAUUCGCUCCAAUGCAGGAGGCGACUUUUCUGCUGGAGUGCAGGAGUCAAUGACGCUGCCGCCAGAGCACGGGACCCAGCACCACCUGGUUGGUGGCGUCCAGAAUUCAGGAUCCCACAGUGCCGCCAGCAGAGGACCGGAGAUGCUGGAGGGCAGGAGCCAAGGCUGUUGCAGCUGGAAUGCAGGAGCUGCUGCCUCCAGAGCUCAGAGCCGCCCCCAGGGGGCCCAAGCCAAAGGAUCCAAGGUGGAAGCCCCUGGGGAAAGGUGCAGGCACCGUGGGUCGGAGGACUGCAGCUUCUGGGGAGGUCCUCUUGGGCGAAGGGAGUCGCCACAUUGGAGGAGGUCUGACCCAGGGUGGGCGUCUUUCUGUGCUGGAAGUGUGACUGUGAGUCCGGGGUUGCGGGCUGGAGGUAAGCGGUACCUCUGGUGUUUUCAGGAGUGUGUAGGGGUAGCUGCAGCAUGAGGAUCCCUCAGGUGGGGGCAUACCUUGCGGUGUCUGGGUGGGAUCCCAUUUUGUGGAGGUACAGGUCUCAGUGAGGAGAUCUUAAAGGGGAGUCAAGCUCCUGGGGACAGGAAGGCCUGUUGUGGGGGGUGAUAUGGAAAGGGGAUGCCCAAGGGAGCCCAGCCUUCAGCAAAAAGGAGAGGCUCAAUUUGGGGCCAUGAAGACUUCCUCCCACAACCCAACAUUCUCAUUCCUGGGAGACAACUCUAGGAGUCUGAAGGCCCCUUCACUUAGCAUUCCAGGCCAGAGUGUAUGGACUGCUCCUUUGGCAUAUGGGUCUCCUCACCCCUGGCUUUCUAUGACAGGAAGAUGGCAGGUUUUUGCUUGCACUCUCCCUUGGGCCAACCUCGAGCUGAUUCAGGCCUCUGGAUUCAUAGCUCAGUCCAGGUCCCUGUAGAAGUUGGGGAUGUUUACUGUUGUGGAGACUAAGGGUAGCAUUUCCAUGUCUGGACUGUGAAUGUGUGGGUCCAUGAAUAUGGCUGUGUGUGCAUGAGUGUAUGUGACUGGAGUAUGUGCAUAUGAGAAUGUGUGUGCACCUGUCUGGAGAUGUCCAAGUGUAUAUCUAGGUAUUGUGUGUAUGUGUAUCUGUGUGCAUGAACAGUUUUUGUGAGUCUGUACUUGUAUGAUACGUGAGAUCGUGGGAGUGAAUAAGGCUAUGACUGUGUGUGUGCUUGUGUGGUCACUGUGUAUUACCCUUCCCUCAGCGCCACCAUCACUCAGCCUGGUGCCACAUUGCAGCUAUGUUUGCAUCUUGCAAGUUUUCAGCCCAAGAUAAAGGGAAUACAAAAUAAAAGACACAGAAUAGAGAAGUAGAAAAAAGCCAGAGGGCAGAGUGUGGGGUAAAGGUGUGAACAGAAAGGGACAGAGCAUGCUCUUCCCAGCCCUGAGUGCUUCCAUUUGGGAAGGUGCUGCAGCCACUGCCCAGAGGCAGCAUAUGACAUGAGGCCACAGCUGCCUGCUGUCAGAGCACUCUUGGAGCUGGGAGUGUGCACAUAGGGGCAAGUUGGUGCCAUCUUGGAUUCUGAGUUCUUCUUUGGUUUGCAAAGGUGGUAGCAGCGCCUCUGUAAAGACAGGUGAUGCACAGAGAUGUGGCUUCCAGCAGGAAGGACAGUGGCUAGCUGAACAUGACCAAGAGAUGGUGGAGCGCAUGACCUCAGCAUUUUUGACAAGGCACAGAGUACCUGUGUGAAGGCCACCUGGAGCUCACCUGCCAGGUAAGGGCUGCACUAAUUACCUGAUGCUCAGUCAAGUGAGUGGCAGUAGUGGAUGACCUGGUUCUAAAGCUCCUUGCUAAAGGAGGAAAAUAUUUUAAGUGCUAUAGGAAAUGUUUUUGCUAGAGGAGUUGAAAGAAGGAAAUUUGGAGGGAACAAAAGAGGUUGUUCUGUCAAUUUGGGACCGGGGUCGGUUUGAACCUGAGAAGGCAGUCUGCCGCCUACAAGAUUAGGAAAACCUCAUGCUUGCUAACAUUGAAAGAGAUUGGCAUGCCCACAUUUUACCAUUGUUUUCCUUUUCUAUAGUUUAUGUUCACUUAAAUAGCUUAAUUCUAAUCUAAUUACUAAUGUAAAAAAGCACAAGGUACAGCUAAGAGAUUGCAUUAGGAAACUUUAAUAUUUAACAUGGGAUUUUUAAAAAAUUCUGUUUAUCCAAAACCUGAUUUAUUUUGUGUAAUGGCUUAAAGUCUGAUGAUUGAUGUUGGUGGUGUGUUAUACAUGAACUGUCUUCUAUAGUAUUUUUGGUAAUUUUGAAACAUUCAGAGUUAACAAAAUGAGUCUUUCAAUCAAGACUUUUAUAUUGUAGUUGUAUGUCAAUAUUAAUAAGUUUGAUAUUGCAUCUUUUAACCAAGUUCAAAUUCUUGCAGAUUAUACUUUGAGCAAUUAUUUAUCUGCAGCAGAUGGAAAAAAAUAUUCUAUAUGUUACUAUUUUAGAAAUGUAUGUUAAGUAAAUAUAUACUGAAAUGCAUUGAGAAGUCUAUCCAAGAUGUUUUAGAAUUUUACAAAAUCUUGUCAAAUUCAUAAAGUGUAGCUUUAAAGACAAAUUUUAUGAGAUAUCACAAAACACUAUUUUAAAGUACUAGUCACAAUCCUUUUAUUUUGGUAGACGAAAGAGUGAAGGAAAGCUGGCACUUUUUAAAAAACAAAAUUGGUGCAAGAAAAUCUUUUGAGUAAAAAAAAAUAUAUAAAAAUCUCAUAUAUAUAUAUAUAUAUAUAUAUAUAUAUAUAUAUAUAUAUAGAGAGAGAGAGAGAGAGAGAGAGAGAGAGAGAGAGAAAGGGGAGAAAGUGUCCACUUUAAAAUAUUUUCCAGAUGGAAAAAAUGCAAGAAUUUUUCCUGCUUUAUGUAAAUUUUUGGUCUGGUGAGUUGCCAAUUUGAACUUGUUUUUGUUUCAUGUGAGAUUCAGAUACACAGUGAUAUCUAUAUGGUUCUUUGAAAGGCUUUCAGCUGCUGAGGAAGUGUAUUUAUGCUUUCGGUUCAAAAGAACUUAUUCCCUGGAAAGCACUGAAAAAAAAAUGAGGACAUUUCAGAAUUAUUUUCAGAUUAUUUUUCAUAUUCCUUUUUGAUACUAUAGGUUAUUUUAUCUGUUAUAGGUGUUAAGUACUUUUUUAUAAAGUAAAAAUUUAGACUAUAUUUGGAAAAAAUACCUAGCUAUAUCUGAUAUUUAAAAGAUGUUUUGUCAAAAGCAUAAAUUAACAAAGGUGACAAGUUAAUGGAGGUGGGCAAGUUAAUUGAACUCUUUCGCAUUAUUUGAGAAAAUAGCAUAUGUUUGCUGACUUUGGGAAUCAUGGCUGGUGAGAAAUCACUAAAGAUUUACCAGAGGCGACUUUAUCAUAAACAAAAUCUACUAAAAUCUGCAGGUUCGAAUUCAUAAUGGUUAUAAAUGUUUCUAGUAUUCAUACUGUCCAAAAGUUUCAAAUCACAUGUCCAAUAGCAGCUGAUUUGUUAGUUUUUAGGGAUGGUUAAAUAUAUGCCCAUAUUUUAUUAAUUCAUACUAUCCACAAGUCCAGAUACAAUGUAAUAAAACAUUUUCAGUGAAUCACUUUCUUCCUUUUAAGUAUUUACUUCUUUGACCUGGUCAAAUUAGUGAACUGAUUUAGAAGAUAAAAUCUAGAAAAUACCACAGGUCUUACAAUGUCAAAUAUUGAUCAUUGGUGGUACACAUAGGUAGCUUUUGUUUUUGUUUUAUGGAAAAAUAUGUUAGAAGUGUUGAUGGGAGGCUAAACUAUUUGAUUCAUAUCAACCUGUAUAUUUUUAAGUUCUACAUAUUUUUAAUUUCUUUACAAAUAUUUUAAUACUUAUUGUUAAGUACAUAUACACCAAGAGAAAAUAUUAAAUAAAGGGAAACACUUGCUUGGGGAGUUUAAAUUAGCUUUAAAUAUAUAUAUAUAUAUAGUGUAGUUUUUGACUAUUUUAGAUCAUAGUUCAUUGCCUCACUUGGCAUGAAAUAAAAACAUCAUAUUUAACAUAUGCCUAUCAGUAUUUCUUUAUAUUUUGUAAACAUCCUACAUGCAAAAUUGGUAUUAAGUUUAACAUAAAAUUUCACUCAAGAAUUAUAAAGACUAAGUUAGAUUACCAACUCAAGUAGUGUAUGUGCUCUCACAACUGUUUGGCUGCCAAACAUAGGUUAAAAAAAUUUCUUUACCUAAACUCUUUGCAUUGUAAUGAAAUAAAUUCUGACUGCUUGAAAAGUCAUGAUCUACUGAAAAUUUGCCUGUAAAAUAAUUCAUAAACAUUAAAUAUUUUGAAUAUAGGAUUCUUCACAAUUGAUAUAAAUAAUUUUGUAUGUACAUUUGAUAACAUCAGUGUUGAUUUUUAAUGUUUAUCAUUAUUUUCUGUGAUUUGUCUAAUACAUAUUUGGUUAUUUUUAUUAAAGUAUUGGGUACUUUCUCCAAGACUGAAAUGUCAAUAUAAAGUGUACUUGAUUGUAUUAAAAAUGUGUUGCAGAAAUUGAGCAAGCAAAGAAAAAUAUAAAGGCUUUUUAUGGUCUUUUUCUGUAGCUCUUUAUUGAUGCUAUAGAUAAGAUGGUGCUGCUAUGUUAGUGAAAGAUAAAAUACAAAAAAUUUCACUUACUUCAAAACUUGAACAGAAAGGCUAUUUUAUUUUUUUUUAUUUAUGCAUUUAAAGUCCAAGUUUGUUUUCUCUUUUUUAAAAUCCUGAGUGACACUUGAAAUGUCUCAACAAUUUUCAGACUUCUUGAUGAUGGACUAUUUGUGGCAAUUUUAAAGAAAAUCUGUUUUAUAGGUAGCAUAAAACACUUUUAAGAUUGUGUCUCUAGCACAAUUUGUGAUACAGGAGGAGUAUCUUAAAGACAAAAGACUUAGGAUAAUACAGACCUUACUGGGUAGAUAUAAUCUUCUUUCAACUUCAGAUUUGAACACUUGCAGUGUGGUAUAUCAUAAAUGUGGGUUUCUUAAGAGAUUUUCUUACUAGAAAUCAAAUCCUUGGUGACACACAUUUGUGUUAGUCUUUUCAACAGUGGGUUGAAGUUCAGCCAUAGCCUGAGGGAGAAUCUCCUGAUCAUUGUAAACUGCAAUAGUAAAGACUCUGUUUUUGACAGGUGCAAACCAUAAAAAUUACCCUGUCAUUUUUCCUAACUUAAUAAAGCUUAAAGACCAAUCAUAUCUAAGUUGUCUUUUGGUGUUUUAAUAUUUACCAUUUUAAAACAGAAAAUGGUUCCUUUGUGCAAAUUUUUUGGGGUUGAUGCAUUGUCAGAUUCUAAGAACUCACUUAAAUAAACAAGAUUAGCACUAGCAAUCUUAUUAUUUUUUUUUCACAAGCAGUAAUUCUGACAAUAAUAGUAUGUCUAUCAGUUAGGUAAGAACUAGCCAGUGCAGUACCACUGUGAAUUCUAGCAAGAAAGAUAAUGUGAGAUGUUUUGGUUUUAUGUUUCUCAAGCUAAAAGACAAAGGAGUGUUAGUGAACUAAACUUGGACUCCUUUAGCCCUGACACUUGUAUUCAGUGAGCUUCCAGUAUAUAAUUAUUUGGUUUAAUAUCUAAACUAUAUUUUCAUAUAAGUGCCAAUAGCACAGUAUUUUAUAGUAAUUGCUUUCAAUUAUUUCAUCAAUAAAGCUAAGUCCCUAGAUAUCCUGGGAAAAAAUUGUGUAUACUUUAUAAAUUCUUGUUUGUGGGUGAUUCAAAUGAUAGACAUUAUAAAACUGUGUUUUCUAAUUUUUACAUUUUAUUCUCAUAAGAUUGUCUUUUUUCUAAUUUAUUGAAUAUAUCAAGAUUUGUUUACAAAAACUUAUCUAGUAAAAUAAUUUUUUAAAAUUGAUAAUUUCAAAUUAGAAAGAAUGUCUAGUUUCUCUCACAGUCACCACAAAAGUUUACUUGUGAGUCUGCUUAAUCUGUUUUUACUACAUAUGCACACUCUAAGAAAAUCGUGUCAAGAAAUAACAUAGCUAACACCUAUGAACAAUUUUUUGGCAGUCUGUAACUUUUGUAGCAUGUUCUUUGGGAACGUACCUUGUCUGCACUUCCACAAAGGCUAAUUUGUCAUUUGUUAAUGGAAAAAAAUCAUAGAGAUACAAGUGUACUUUGAAAUCAUUUGGAGAACUUAUACCCCCUUGAUUUAAUAAAGGAGUUGCUUUGUGAUACCUCUCAGAGAGCAAUACAUGUCCUGCUUGAACAUGGAAAGUGACAAGAGUACACUACCUCACCAAGAUAGCAACUUUAAUUCAUGAACAUCUCUUCUUUUGUUGAGCAAAAUUAAUUCUAUUUUUUUUUUAAAUCUCCUGAUACCAAUGUGGCUAUAUAGAAUUUUUUUCUCGAUUACAUUUGAGCUUGAAAGUCUCAUGUGCCUUGGUUUCCAAAACCUAUACUCUCCCAGUUCCCCUCACCUAAAUAGUUUUUCCAUGUUAAUCUUUAUGUGUGAUAUGCAUCUGAAUGUGAUCCACUUUACAGUCUUACUAUGAAAAGACAUCUCUCUCUUUUAAACAGAUGUUCUGCUUGUCUGAAAGAUUUCAGGACUAUACUAUUUUUAAUAUGGAAUUUACACUUGUCUUUUAUGAAUUUAGAUUUUGCACACUUCUCUUUUUGAGGUUUAUGAUUGGUUAACUUGCUCCUUGCUGUCAGUGUUCAUUCUUUCAGCUGCUUAAGAUUUUCUAAUCUAAGGAAGCCUAGCAUGUGCAAGUACAAGUUAAAAAUUUUGUCUUCAGCCCUAUUGCAUAUACAUUUUUAAACAUUUAUUUAUUUAUUUAUCCAUCUAUCUAUUUAUUUAUUUAUAUGUGGUACUGUGGAUUGAACCCAGUGCCUCACACAUGAGCGGCGAGUGCACUACCACUGAUCUACAACCCUAGCCCACAUAUAUUUUAAAGACCUCCUGACACCAUUUAAUGUAAUUGAAAAACACUAUCAAACAACAAAACACUAUUAAACAAAUCUUAAAAAUAGCUAGUGUUCUUGUUGCUUUUAGAUAUUUUGAAUAAUUUUGCUCAUCAAUAACUUAUGUAGAUUCAUUAUUUUUAUGCUUAAAUGAGUCUUGCUUCUACAUAGCCUCCCACUUUUCCAAACACCACACCCUUCUCUCAGAGGGAAGAAAUGCAUAAUUGCAAAUUUUCAUACCACAAUGGGAAAUCCAGAGUUACUGAGAAUUCCAAGCAUUCAACUUGACAUUUAGCAUAUUUAGGUGAGACCUAUGUAGAGCCAUAUUUGGGGCAGGAUUAGGAAUAAGAAAGAACUUAGUUAUUUGUGUCAAUAUCUUUAUUGCAGGUGAAGAGUUAAGAAUUAUAUGCAUUGUGCAUUAUAUUUAAAAUUGAAGUGGCAGCCAUAGUGUAUUGCUAUGUAUUGUAUUAUAGAUCUUCAAAGCUGUGAGAAAUAGGUGGUAUAAACCUGAUAUUCUUGAGGAAUCCAUACAUAAAGGUGUUCCUGAGUAAUUAAGUUUCAAAAGUACUCCAUUCAUUUCCAAUCACCUUGAAAGUUGAAAAUAUCAUAAGUCAAAAAUGCAGUACACCUACUCAACAGUCCAGCCUACCAGUGCAGUACAAUGUAGAAUGUUGGUUGUUUAUUCUAAUGACAAUGUGGUUCACUGGGAUCUGUACUUUUGCUGCCACUGGACAAAAAGAUUAUCAUACCACAUAUGAUUAAUAUUGGAAAAGGAUAAAAUUCAGCAUUGGAAGUUUGUUUACUACUGAAUGCAUAUCACUUUCACACUAAUGUAAAGUUUAAAAACAAGUCAAACUAUCAUUUUGUCAGUGCCCAUGUAUAUAUUAAAUUUUUUUCGAGCACCAGGGAUUAAACUCAGGGAACUUGAACACUGAGCCACAUCCCCACCCCUAUCUUUUUAAAAAUAUUUUUUCGUUGUUGUUGGACAUUCAUUUAUUUAUUUGUAUGUGGUGCUGAGAAUUGAACCCAGUGCCUCACACAUGCUAGGCAAGCAUGCUACCACUGAAUCACAACCCCAGCCCCCCAGCCCUAUCUUAGAUUUUAUUUAGAGACAAAGCUUCACUGAGUUGCUUAGUGCCUCACUUUUGCUGAGGCUGGCUUUGAACUCAAGAUCCUCCUGCCUCAGCCUCCAGAACAGCAGGGAUUAGAAGUGCAUGCCACUGCAUUCAGCUUAUAUUAAGUUUAAAAUGUUCAGCAGUUACUCACUAUUAUAUGUCAGGCAUAAUUCUUGUGAGUAUGAGGAAUAUAGACUUGCAUCCAUUCAGAAGGACUCUUAUUCAUCUCCCAUACAAUUUUUAUUCAUAAAUAAUUAUAUUGUUUAUUUUAUUGUUGUGAAAAUCUACAACCAAGAAAUAUAAGUUAAAUUAAAUUUUGUUUAUUGUAAUUUUAGUAUGGAUGAUGGACGUAAGGGCAAUGAAAACAUUACAGAAGAAAAACAUAUCUGGAAUAAAUGAGGAGAAAUAAGUUGGAGAUAAGUACCAAAUUUCAAAGAGCGUAUCAUACAGCUUGGAAAAUGAAGUUUAUGCUUUAAACUUAAUGGUAUUCCUUUGAACAAAGAUAGAACAGCAUGCUUAAUGUUGGACAAGGAACAAUUUAUUUUUUAGAGGCUUUAUAUCAUAUAAGAGUUUACAUAUUGAUUUCCAAAAAAGCAAUAAAUUGGUCCCAGACCACAGGAUGAAAUCUUACUUUAAAAUAAAAUGAUUUUGCUUCCACUUAACACUGAAAUAUUUUUUGCUGGAAUAACUUUCUACGAUGAAGGUACCUAUUAUUCUUAUCCACUUUUUUUUUUACAUUUAUCAUAUGCUAAGACAAGAACAUAGCCAACUUGUUUUGAGAGUGUUUCUUAGAAUAUUGGUUGAGAAGUGAAAAAAAAUCCUUCAAGAAGGAAAAUGUAAAUAAAACUAAUUUAAAACUUUAUAUCAUGUAUCAGAUACUCUCAAUUUCACAAGAGAAAUAUUUUAAUUUAAAAAUUUGCUGGUUUAGCUUAGUUAAAUAUAAUACUAUUUAAUGAGUGCAAGUGUGAAAGUGCUAAGCACCUUGCAUGAUGUUUUCCCAAAACUCUAUAAAAUAAAGUCUUCUUCCUGUUUACACAUAAGUACAUCCAGGAUCAGAAAAGUUAGUUAACUUGCUCAGUUUAAUGUAUCAAGUAAUAAGUGAAGUCUACAUUCAAACUCAGGGACACCUGAUUUCAAAGCACUUAACUUCUCUAAUUCAUUUUUAUUUUUAUUUUUUGGAUUUUUGGCUAUUUUAUGCUAUUAAUUAGGUAAUAUUUUACUAGGGAUAGAAGAAACAGAAAGAUGAUAGAUGUGGAUUAAGUGGUGGUAGUACAGGAAGAAAUUGGACAUCUUGUAUGCUGUCAAGUGGUGGAGUUUUAGGGAAAUAUUGGGAAAUUUUUGUUUACUUGCUGAUAUAACAUUGGUAUUACCUUCUGACGUUUUCAUACUUUCUUAAAGCAUUAUUCCACCUUCGUUGGUUACCUACCUGUUUCCCUCAUGGCAAUUAUCCACCAUGGACAUUGCUGGAGCUGCUGUGCUCCCUUUAGCACAUCCCCACUCAGUAUGUUUAGUACUUUCUUGUGACACUAUUAUCUCAUUGCUUAACUGUGUGCAAGAAAUCAAAGGAAAAAAACUCUCAAUCUAGUAGGUUUUUCAUUGCUGCCCUAGCAAUUUAUUGCAAAUGAAUGGCUAAAACAUCACAAAUGUAUUACAUUUUUUAGUCAUAAGUUUGGUGUUGGUCUCAGCAGUCUAAAAUCAAAGUGUCUGCAGGGCUGAGACUGUAUGGGGGAAUCUGUUUUCUGCUCAUUACUAUCAUUUACCACAUUCAGUGCUCUCUGACUGUAGUACGGAGGUCCCUUUCUUCUUGCUAACUGUAAGCUGAGGAACAGUCUCAGCUUCCAGAAGCAGUCUGCAUUCCUUGGCUUUUGGUUCUCUUCUUCCUUCUUUAAAGCCAAUAACAGUUCAAUGAAUCCUUUUCAGAUUUUCUUCUGACCCAUUCUUCUUUCACUUUUAUGGAUUCAGGUGAUUAGAUGGAUCCAUCUAUAUAACAUGAGAUACUCUCCCCAAAUCAAGGUCCUUAACCUUAAUCAAAUAUGCAAUAUCUCCUUUGCCAUGUAACAACAUAUCCAUAGUUUCCUGGGAUUAAGAUAUGGGUAUCUUUGGGAGGCCAUUAUUCUGUUUAAUGCAUCUUCAUCAAACACAAUCAUUUUAGGCUUACACAAGCACUUUAAGAAAUUGUUCCAAUUAAUUGAAGCAGUUCUAUAAAUUUUACUUUCUUAUAAUUAAACUGUAUUUAUUAAUCUCUUGGCCUCUAGUUUUGUUCUUGCAAAUCACAGUAGUUUAACUAUUAAAAAGACAUUUCUCAAACCCUUGCAACAAUGAUUUCCUGGAAAACCUUUUAUUAGUUCAUUGAAGUUAUUCAUAAUAUUAGAGUUAAUUUUGACAUAAAGAUAGAAGCAUGGAAUAUAAUUUGCUCCAGUGCAGUCCACAGAAUUUCCCUUUACCUCCAUUCCUUUCUCCCCCUUUUCCCUUUCCUCUACUGCAUGGGAUCUUUUUUCUGUUUAUUUAUAGUUUUUUAAAAAUUUUAAAUCCUUGUAAAUAUAUAUAAAGGUGAUAUGAUCCAACUCUUUUUAAGUUAAUAAGUUGUAGUACCACAUUUUUAAUAUAAUCAUGGAAUUCUUUUUCUUAAUACACUGUGGUAUGUUCACAUAUGUACAUAAGAUAGUUUGGUCAGCUUCAUUCCACCAUUCUUUUCUUUUUCUGUCUUUUUGCUCUUCCUCUCUCCCUCAAUCCCUUUCCUCUACUCUACUGAUCUCUCUUCUAUUUUACUGGUACUCCCCCAUCACUUUUACUUUUUUGAGGGGGUAGGGGUUCCAGGGAUUGAACCCAGGGGCACUUAAACCUUGAGCCACAUCCUCAGCCCUUUAUACAUUUUAGUUUGAGACAGGGUCUCACUGAGUUGCUUAGGGACCCGCUAAGUUGCUGAGGCUGGCUUUGAACUUGUGAUCAUACUGCCUCCAUCUCCUGAGCUGCUAAGAGUAAAGGCAUGCACCACUUGUUCCCAGGAAGUACACUGAUUUUGCAUAAUCACAUAAAAUGCAGAUAUAAGUAAAUACUAUGAUGCUAGUCAUUAAAAAAAGGUUUCUUAUUUCUUUGCUUUUUAAAAUGUAGAUUGUUUUAUGAUAAUUUGUAUGAUCCAAGUCUUUUUUUAAGUUAAUAAUUAGUAGUGUCACAUUUUUAAUAAAAUCAUGGAAUUCUUUUUCUUAAUAAAAUUUGAUGUAAAAAAUAGAAUUUAAAAUGACUCCAUUGACAUCAUAACUGUCAAAAAGUACAAAAGUGGGCUGGGGAUGUGGCUCAAGCGGUAACACACUUGCCUCACAUGCGCAGGGCGCUGAGUUUGAUGCUCAGCACCACUUAAAAAUAAAAUAAAAAUGUUGUGUCCACCAAAAACUGAAAAGUAAAUAUUAAAAAGAAUUCUCUCUCUCUCUCUCUCUCAAAAAAAAAAGUAUAAAAGUGAGUGCAUAAUAUAAGUUGGUCGGUGUUAAUUACAUUGAACAAUUGAAGGACUCAGCUGUGUGUAGUGGAACACACAAGUUAUCCUAGUGACUCAGGAGUCUAUCACAGGAAGAUCAAAGUUUAAGGCCUACCUCAGCAACUUAGUGAGUCCCUGUGUCAAAAUAAAGAUGGAUGGUGGUGAUGGGGAUGUAGCUCAAUGAUAAAGUGCCCCUCUCUUCGCUUUUGGUUUUUAUCUUAAAACAUUUUCAGUUUGUUCAAAGGAGUUCAAAAUCAGAUAAAAUAUAAAGGCUGCUAUGUAAAUUACAAUAGCCAAAUUAUGGAACCAGCACAGGUGCCCAUCAAUGGAAGAAUGGAUAAANGCAUAAUAUAAGUUGGUCGGUUUUAAUUACAUUGAACAAUUGAAGGACUCAGCUGGGUGUAGUGGAACACACAAGUUAUCCUAGUGACUCAGGAGUCUAUCACAGGAAGAUCAAAGUUUAAGGCCUACCUCAGCAACUUAGUGAGUCCCUGUGUCAAAAUAAAGAUGGAUGGUGGUGAUGGGGAUGUAGCUCAACGAUAAAGUGCCCCUCUCUUCGCUUUUGGUUUUUAUCUUAAAACAUUUUCAGUUUGUUCAAAGGAGUUCAAAAUCAGAUAAAAUAUAAAGGCUGCUUUGUAAAUUACAAUAGCCAAAUUAUGGAACCAGCACAGGUGCCCAUCAAUGGAAGAAUGGAUAAAAAUGUAUACUAUAUAUACACAAUAGAAUUCUAUUCAACCAUACAGAAAAAUGAAAUUAUGAUAUUUGUUGGCAAAGGAAUGGAACUGGAGAACAUGAGGCUAAACAAAUAAGCCAGACUCAUGAAGUCAAGUGUUGGAUAUUUUCUUUUAUGAUGAGCUAGAGAGAGGGAAAAAGGAAUUAGAAAAGAGGGAUAUUAUGAAAAUAGAAGUGAGACCAAUAGAUGAAGGUUCUUAAGAGGGAGGGAGAAGGAGAGAGUAUGGGGAAAUACUGGUGAACAAAAUCUACAAAAUUUUGCUUUGUCUGUAUAAAUGUACCACAGUAAGGGCUGGAGUUGUGGCUCAGUGGUAGAGCACUUGCCUAGCACGUGGAAGGCAUUGGGUUCCAGCCUCAGUACCACAUAAAAGUAAAGAAAUAAAAUAAGUAUUUUUAAAAGGUAUCAUAGUAAAUCCUGCAUGUAUACAUGAAAUUGGUAUAUUAUAUAUGCAUAUAUAAUGCGUAAGUAUAUUUAUAAUGUAUUAAUUUAAAUAAUAAUGAUAGAAGGAACAUCAAUAGGAAGAGCCAGCAGAUCAGGGGUACUUGGGAAUGAGAUUGAUCAAUUUAUGAAAGUAUGAAUGUGGCAUAAUGAAUCCCACUAUUAUACAUAAUUAUAAUGCAGCAAUAAAUAAUUUUAAAGAAACAAAGGCCACCAUAAAAUCAUACUUUACAACUGGAAGGUCCUCACAUAUCUCUGUAAAGUCAAAUGGCAUAAAUUGUUGAGAACCCUUUAAAAAUCUUCAUAUAUGUCAGUUUAAAAUGAAUUUAUUUUAAUUUGAAAAUAAAAGAAAUUCAAUAACCUUAAAAAUAUUACAGAAUUAGGGGCUGGGGUAUUGCUUAGAGGUACAGUGCUCACCUAGCAUGUGUGAGACACUGGGUUCAAUCCUCAGCACCACAUAAACAUAAAAUACAAUAUUGUGUCCACCUAUAAUUAAAAAAAUAAAUUAUUAAUAAAAAAUUGACUUUUUUUAAAAUUAUAGAAUUAGGUAACAGUGGCAGACAACUAUGUGGUUGUUGGCUUUGCUAAUGCUGUUCAAUACUUGGUCUUUGGCAGAUGAGUGGGGAGAAUAUUAAAAUUUGGAUUGUUACUUAGUUAAUGUUGAAUAAAAUAGGAGCUGUAAAAUAACAAGUGAUGAGUGACUGUGCUACUGUUUCUGAGCUUUAAACCUGAUUCACCAGGAAGUGACUCUAGCCUUAAAAGUGGCAUUUCUAAACUUGGAGUUGAAUGUAGGAAAGUUCUGAACUCAGAUUGAAUCACCUAUCUCCAAACACUGUUUCUAAUUGUGGAAAGUGCAUGGGUUGAUUACAAUUGAAAAAAGUUCAAAUGCUGUAUUUUUGAGCACCAAGUUUAAGAACCAAACAUGAGGAGAAUGAUGGAUGGAGUGGCAAGCUGAGUCCAGGGUAUGUGGACAGUUGUGCUCAACUAGUGCUUAUGCUCUCCCUCAGUCUCUUCUCUCCCUUCUUCCUUCCCACAUUUAAAUUUCUCACUGCAGGUGUUUCAAAAAUUUUAGAUGUUAUUUUUAACCAUGAUUUCUUGUAUCAUAUCCUAUUUUAAAUUUUUAUUUUUCUGGUUUAAAAAAUGGAGUGUUUCACUGAUCAUUAAGACCUUGAAAUCUUGAAAAGUUUAUAAUAAUCUUGUUAAAGAGUUCCUUGAAUUUCAAGAGCUCAAAGAGACUUUAGAAACCACUUGUUUAGUUGUAUCAUGUACUUUGAAAUACAUCAUCACUUUUCAGCCACCUAGGUACAAUCUUCGUUUACAUUUUCUUAGUUUAUAUUUUCUUAAAAAAACCUUCUAUUUCAUCAACUGUACUACAAAUUAAUGUUAAAUAUCAGUUUACUGUAAGAUUCAACUAUGCCUCUCUUCAAGGUGUGAUUACAUCAGAACUUUCCUCAUGUUCUAUGGUGAAACAAGUUCCUAAAUACUAGGUUGAUCUAGCUAAAGAUACAAAAUAUUCAAAAUGGAAAUUUGAAAAUUCUGUGGAUGGAAUAGGUUGCUAAUAGAUGAUACAGUAGAUAAUCCCUUAGCAUCACCUGGAUUAAUCAUUUUUUUAUUUAUUAUUGACAUUUUUCCUACAGAGAAGAUGUGUGCCUAAUCAUUUCUGAAUGAUUCACAGAUAAACAGAAAUAUGGGUAACUGGAACCAAAAUUUUGGUCUUAAGCAGACCAGAGACCUGGCUCAUUAACAUAUUUUUCAUAGAUAUGUUGCUGAAGUAUAUAAAUAGAUGCAAUUAAACACUGCUUUUUUUUUUUUUGGAAUCAUCAUAAAUUUUGUCUAUCUUUAAUAUAAGUGUAGUUGCAGUUUAUUUUUUGAAUCGUAGAUAUUGUUUGAUUGCUGAUCCAAACUUACAGAUAGCCUGAUCCAGAAGAAAAUAAUCCUUUAAUACUAUAGUAAGGGAAAUCUGUGACUUUGUUGCUUAGUGUUCUGCCCAAAACCAUCAGUAAACUUCUAAGAUGGCACACCAAAAUCAGUUUUUCUAGUAUCAUUCCCCUUUCCACAUGGUGGGAAUUCUAUUUCUUCUUGCUUAAAUAAAUAAAUUUUAUUCUUCAAAAUUUCUGAGACAAGCAUCCAGAUACAAUUGGUAAAGUGAGAAAUUUUGUUUCAUCACAAAAUUCCACUUUCAACAUAAUCAAUUAUUUUUUUUCCCCAUGUUUCUUAAAAAUAGGCUUCAGAAAAAGCAUCUUAUCAUAUGGAUUCACUUUCAUUCUUUCUGGAAUCACCCCAGGAACAAAGGACUUUGUUGGAGGUGUUCUCCCAAAUGGGUUUCAAGGGUAUUUACAUUUGAAAUAGGCCUUAAUGGUGCUCAUUCACAAAUCUUCCAGUUAGCCUUGAGGUGUGGUACAAUGAAGCCCAUUAUCCUCAUUACAGGGUCAUUUCACUAUCUAUUCUAUUUUAUACUUAUUCACUGUGAACAGAGAAAAACUAGAAAAAAAACUAAAAAAACCUAGAAAACCCCCUAGAAAACUAGGGGUUUAUUCUCAGACCUAUGAAGACCUAAGCUGAAGUUGUGGAUUUCAAAUUUUUGUUUUGAAUUUGAGAUAAAGCUUCCCUUUCAUUUAAAUGCUCUGGCGUCCUGAGGAGCAUGAGUUAAAAGCCAGCAUCAGCAAUUUAGUAAGGACCUAAAAAUCUCAAAGGGACGCUGUCUGUAAAUAAAAAUACAUAAAAGGGCUGGGGAUGUAAAUCAGUGGAUAAACACUUCUGGGUUGCAUUUCUAGUACCAAAAAGAAAACAAAAAACAAAACACAAAUCAAAACAAAACAAAAACUCAUGACUAACAAGCCCUAAAAUCUACAGUCUCUCUCAUGCAUGAAUACAUCAAAUGGAGCUGGGGUUCUCUCCUGAUAAUUAUCCCAGGCUUCACCACUGGGAUAAUAGUCUGGGGACAUGCUGGACUUUGGCACAUGGAUGCCCACAAAGAGUUUCAGAAAGAAGCUGAAAACUCCAUACAAUCAUGGAACAAAAUGCUCAGGUUGUCAACUGCUGACCUAAGCUCCACUAGACUAGUCAGAGGCGGGUGAACCCUGAGCUGCCUCGGAGAGUCCCUCUGACCCCAGAGGGACUAGCCACAAUCUCCAGUUUCCACCAUUGCCUCUUCCACCAGCUUCAAACAACCUUUCUACCCAGUCCCAGGAUAACAAGCACACUUACAUUUCCUGGCUUUCAGGUUUCUUAACGUUUUCCCUGUGAUUUGUUUUCAGCAUCUGUGUAGCAAAGAAACCUAGACUCCUGAUCCAGGACAGGAAGACUACAAAAAGAUUGAAAGAAUGGUGGGCUCCAGACAGGAAGAGAACACAAGAUUGUGGAAUCCCGCCCCCUCAUCACUGGUCCUGUGAGGAUGGACAGUCCUCACCUAAGAGACUGGUUGGAAAAGGCUUCAGCACUUCCCCAUUUUCAUUGUUGAAAGAUUAAGGAUCAGAGUUGGGGAUAUAGCUUAGUCAGUAGAGUGCUUGUUUUGCUUAUUUAAGGCCAUGGAUUCAAUUUCCUGCACCACACACACACACACACACACACAGAAUAAGUGAAGGACUGUGGGGAAUGGGGUUGUCAUUAAGUGGUAGAGUGCUUUUCUAGUAUGUGUGAGGUACUGGGUUGAACACCCAGCACCACAUUAAAAAAAAAGAAAAAAGGAAAGAAAGAAACAAACAAACUAAUAAUGAUAUUGUAUCUA